rnacentral:rRNA from 1 species
GAUGAACGCUAGCUACAGGCUUAACACAUGCAAGUCGAGGGGCAGCAUGAGGUCAGCUUGCUGACUUUGAUGGCGACCGGCGCACGGGUGAGUAACGCGUAUCCAACCUGCCCAUAACUAAGGGAUAAUCCGUAGAAAUGCGGUCUAAUACCUUAUGUUGUCCGAGGAAGACAUCUGAUUCGGACGAAAGAUUUAUCGGUUAUGGAUGGGGAUGCGUCUGAUUAGCUUGUUGGCGGGGUAACGGCCCACCAAGGCGACGAUCAGUAGGGGUUCUGAGAGGAAGGUCCCCCACAUUGGAACUGAGACACGGUCCAAACUCCUACGGGAGGCAGCAGUGAGGAAUAUUGGUCAAUGGACGAGAGUCUGAACCAGUCAAGUAGCGUGCAGGAUGACGGCCCUAUGGGUUGUAAACUGCUUUUAUACGGGGAUAAAAGAUGUCACGUGUGACAUUUUGCAGGUACCGUAUGAAUAAGGACCGGCUAAUUCCGUG